rnacentral:rRNA from 1 species
GUCCACGCUGUAAACGAUGGAUACUAGGUGUAGGGGGUAUCGACCCCUUCUGUGCCGCAGUUAACACAAUAAGUAUCCCACCUGGGGAGUACGGCCGCAAGGUUGAAACUCAAAGGAAUUGACGGGGGCCCGCACAAGCAGUGGAGUAUGUGGUUUAAUUCGAAGCAACGCGAAGAACCUUACCAGGACUUGACAUACCAUUGACGUAUCUAGAGAUAGGUAUUUCCUUCGGGACAAUGGAUACAGGUGGUGCAUGGUUGUCGU